CCCAUCUGCCAUGUGAGGACACAGUGAGAAGGCUGAACCACCAGACGUCAAAUCUGCCAGUGCCUGGAUCUUGACUUUCCGGCCUCCAGAACUGUGAGAAAUAAGCGUUUGCUGUAUUGAAGAUGGAGGUGAUGCAGCCACAUUGUAACCAUGAAGCAAUGAGCACAAAGACAAAGGUUCCAUUCUAAAGAAGGCUGAAGAAGAGAGAGAGAGAGGGAGCCUGGGUCCCUGAUGGCACUGUGGAACCACCCUACCAACUCUGGAGUGUGUCUGCUGAACUGGUUGUGUAAGAAAAAUAAAGAACCCCAGUUGACAGAA